GCCCGGUUAGUGUAGCCCGGCCAAUCAUGAAGCCCUUUCGAGGCUUCGACACGGGUUCAAAAUAAGAUGCAGUAAAUUUAUUGUGUCUAUGAAUUUCCCGUACCGGGCA
rnacentral:tRNA from 1 species